CGGUAGAUGCACCUUGAUCUUUAACUCCCCUAGUUGGUUGAUAGCCACUGGGGGUUUUUUCU
rnacentral:sRNA from 1 species